UGGCACUUUACCACUGAACUACAUCCCUUUUUCAUUUUUCAUUUUGAGACAGGGUCUUGCUAAGUUGUACAGUAUAGUCUUGAACUUGCCAUCCCCUGCCUGAGCCCAGUAGCUGGGAUUAUAGGUGUGUGCCAUCAUGCAUGGUUUUUAAGAACCUUUCAGUUGGUAUGCAAGUGCAGCUUACCCUUUUAUUCUUUAUUCAGUCUUAUCAGGUUUACUUUCUAUCUAUCUAACAGAAGCUUCCUGACUGUCCUGGUUUUUAAAGGCAUUGCUGGCACAUUAAACAUCCCAACAUAUUAAUAGUAAAGAGGGGUUCUGGGAGGGUAGCUCAGUGGUAGAGAAUGUGGUUAACAUAUGCAAGGUCCUGGGUUCAAUCACCAGCAGCACAAAAAAAAAAAAAAAAAAAGGCCUUGCUGGUUAAGUUGUCUGUAUUUACUAUUUAAUUAUAUCUUCUAAUUGAACUCUUAAGCAGAAAAUUAGUGUCCUCUUGUUCCAUUCUGUGACAUAGCCCAGGUUUGUGGUAUACUUUAUAAUAUCAAGAAGAUCUCACCAGGCGUGGUGGCACAUUACCUGUAAUCCCAGUGGCUCUGGAGGCUGAGCAGGAGGAUCGCUAGUUCAAAGCCAGAUUCAGCAAAAGCAAGGUGCAAAGCAACUCAAUGAGACUCUGUCUCUAAAUAAAAUACAAAAUAGGCUGGGGAUGUGGCUCAGUGGUAGUGUGCCCCUGAGUUACCUGCCUCCUCCACGCCCCCCCCCCCAAAAAAAAAAAAAAAAAACUUACCUAGUAAGUUGUAAAAAGCUUUUAAAUUUAGGCCCUAGCUUUCAACUCACUCUGACUCAUGUGGUCUCUGGUUUUAAGUUAAGCACCUUCUGGAGAUUGUGCACAUGCUGGUUGCCCCCCACCCCCCAUCCCUGGCAUCUUUGCAUGACACACCUUCAGAGAUGACCAUCACAGCUUUAGCUCAGUAGUGCUACUCAGUUCAUGAACAAGAGGCUGCUGGGACAAUAAGGUAAGCUGCUGGUAGUCUCUGAGUUUCUUACUCUUAGUUUGGUGUUAAUCUGAUACAGUACAGAAGAAACCAUUGCAACAGAGUACUAACAGUAGUCUGAUAAUGCUAUCAUAGAAGCUGGGAUUUCUCCUAGGAUGGGAGAGCAAAAAAAGAGAUGUGAGAUCACUGAGGAGAGAGGAAGUGGGAAGUCAGUGCUGGGGAAAGAGCAGCUUCCUUUUAUUAUCUUGGCAAAACCCACUACUACCAAAGAAAUUCACACAUGGGCUUAGUUUAGAAGGUAAAUUACUUGAGAACAUGUAAAUUGCAUCUGAAUUCAAUUAGGUUUCAGUUUCAUGGGAUGAUAGCUCUAGGCAUUCAGUGCUCUAUUAAUAGAUACUUAAGAUGAGCUUAAUAGUGAAUGCUGCCUACUCUGUUCUUACCUUAAAGAACAUAUAUUGGUUUGUUUUGUAAUAAGUUAAAGUACACUUAAGUAUAUCAUGCCAAUUUCCUUUUGAUGCAAACCAUAAAAAAUUCAUUUCUUAUGUGACAUUUCAUGAGGUACACGAAAUGAUUUUUAAAACUCUUCAGUGAAAUUACUAGUUCUAAAAACGUAAACUUGAGUAAAAAUACAUUAAAAUAUGUAAAGUAAGAAAUCUAGUAGGAGAUGAAAAA
rnacentral:lncRNA from 1 species